GACGGAGGAUGCAAGUGUUAUCCGGAAUCACUGGGUGUAAAGCGUCUGUAGGUGGUUUAAUAAGUCAACUGUUAAAUCUUGAGGCUCAACCUCAAAAUCGCAGUCGAAACUAUUAGACUAGAGUAUAGUAGGGGUAAAGGGAAUUUCCAGUGGAGCGGUGAAAUGCGUAGAGAUUGGAAAGAACACCGAUGGCGAAGGCACUUUACUGGGCUAUUACUAACACUCAGAGACGAAAGCUAGGGUAGCAAAUGGG
rnacentral:rRNA from 1 species